ensembl:lncRNA
GGCCUUAGCAACAGAAGUCUGCUUGAUACUGGAGAUAAGAUCAGUAUUGGGAACACAAAAAAUGACUUUAUAAUACUGGUCAUCAUUGGCUCAUCAGAACACCCAUGACUGAUGGUUUCUGGAUAAAGAUAUCUUCUGCUGACUGAAAACCAUCUGCUUUGAUUAGAUCAAAACAACACUGAGAGGAAACUUUCUGUAAAUGAAAGAUCGGUAUAAUGACAAAGGAUGACAUCAUGUAAUGUGUAAAGAUCAACACUCCCUCCCAGCUUGGUGUAAUCUGCAAGCUUACUGAGGGUAAGUAAUCCCCUCAAUCCCCUCAUCAAGAUCAUUGAUAAAGAUAUUAAAUAGAAGUGGCCCCAG